AGAGAGUGCUGUUUCAGGUAUAGCACAGCCCCUUAACUAGUUGUAGAUCUUUUUUGAGGAAGUGCACAACAUUUUAAAAACGUUUUCAGUUUUAUCUUAAUUUUAGUGUUUUACGUUGGUGCAAGUUCUGUACCAGUAUAGGUUAGUAAAUAGAAUUUGCUUCACUUGUAUUUCUUUAAAGUGCAUUAAGAUAAGAGAACAAUUUGCACACUAGCCAGUACUGAAUUAGUCAUUUAAAGCUCUUUGAUAAUUAUAUUUCUAGCUAAGACAGAUGUGAAAUGUUUUAGUAUUAAAUCUGUAGUUUUGACAAUUGAAUAGCUAAAAAAAUCACCCAAAAAUAAAAUAUCAAGCUGCUGUUUUCCCAGCAGCAAUGUAAAAUCUUAUUUUUAAACAUCUUCUGAAAGGUGAAGAAUUAUAGCCCUUGCAACCAUAUGCUAAAAGUUCUGUGCAUUUUUUUUUUUUUUUUUUUGCAUGUACCAUCAGCACUGAAAUAAGGCAAGGGCUAAACUUACUCUUUUUAGCAAGAGGUUUGUGAAUAGACACAUAUUUGGUAUGUUGACCAAGAACAUUGAAUGCUCUAUUGCCAAGAUCCACUGAGGUCCAUUGCUCCCUUUAACCUUACAUGAAUUACUGGGGGAUUUAUUUAUUUAUUUUUAUUUAUUUAUCGCAACAGAUGUUUUUCCUUCAAGGCCAUUGCACGCUGGAUCUGCUAUCAUUUUUAGUGCAUAUAAUGGCUUGAAUUUAAAUGAUUCUAAUUUAAAAAUCCACAUCACUUUCAUACAACAGUUAUGUGUUUGGUUUGUGAGGUACAAUACGUUUUUUUCAUACGCUACAGUUCUUUAAAGAAACAGAUCCUGUAAAUAGAUAUUUUCUUCCAGCUGGGGGUUUGUGUGUUGUAAAUAGUUUGACAUUUUUUACUUGAAUGAGUACAAUUUAUAGUUAAAUCUAGAUUUUGAGAUUGUGAUUUAACAAUCACUAACUAUACACUAACAGAUUUAAAUACUUAUUCAGCCCAAAAAUACAAACUCAAUUUCUUAUGCCUUCCAAAAGUAUUUGUGCUAAAGGCAUUUUGACAUUACAAAUAAUAUACUAUGAAGUUAUGCUUGUACAAUAGUAGGACGUCUGCUAAUAGUGAUCACGUUUUCUGCAGUUUCCACAUAUAGGCCUAUUUUGCUUUUAAGUGCAACCUUACUGAUUUGAUUCAAGAAACAUUCACCAAUGAUGGUUUAUUUACCAUAUUGCCAUAUCUUUUGUGUUUUCAUUUUUAAUGCUGGCGUAAGGUUAUCUUCUGUCUAAAAGAACAAUAGAAUCCACAAAAGCAAAAUUCCAUAAAGGACAACCAACCAUUCUACUCAACUAGACAUCCCCCACUGCUCUCGCUAUUAUCCCUUUCCGAUCCGUUUAUUCAGCACCUGUCAGGCGCAUCAGGUCUAAUUUUAUUUUCACACAAGCUGUUUAUUUUACACGUGUGGUUUAAAAGUAAUUUUAUUCACAGUAAAACAGGUUUAAAGGGCACUGCAUAUCAACAUGACACUCCAGUACUGCAUCUCCAGCCCUUCCCUACCCCUUGUUCGCUGUAUUUCACAUAUCUCUUCAUAGUCGUGCAUACUGAUAAACCAUCUCCUGAUCACUCGAUUUAUCACCGAACUCCACAAUAAUGCUUUCCAAGUAAUUCUUUUUCAGUGCUGAAUGCGGAAGCAGCUGUCUUGAUUGUUUGUGUCCGUGUUAUGUCUGUGGUGAAGGGACUAUGCGUAUUGCUCAGAUCCGCCUCUGUUUAUUUUUAAUUUUUUUUUUUCGGCUUCUCUCGGCCAUUGAAAGCUUUUCUCUGCGUUUUCCUCAGAAAAAUCGACUAGGGACCUGUGAUUGACGGCUUUUUUAUGUCGGACAGGAAAGGAACAAUUUUAAUGUCAGACCUGGUCCGACAUAGGACCGCAAAGGGUUAAAGCAGACCAGGGGCUAUAUUUAUCAAUCGUGCAUAUGCACAAAUUUCAUUUUAAACUGUGCGUACGCACAGUAACAAAGUGUGAGAUUUAUCAACAUGCAACUUUGCAUGGAAAUGUUUGUAGACUCAUGCACACUCUGGACCAUGCGUGCGAUCGUUUCCUUGUAUACUGUGUUACGUGUUACCAUGUGGCGAAGUAGUUUUUCCAGAGUUCAGUUUUCUAUUCAUGUAGAAACCAGGCUUAUAUUUAAGUCUGAAACUGUGUCAAUUUAGAUAUUUAUUUUGUACUAAAUAAAUGGCAAGUCUGAGGUCAUUCUUUUCAUUAAUACCGUAAUCCAGUAUUUUGUAUAUAUAUAUUUUUUUUUAUUGCGUCUUUGUAAUACUGGCCUGAUGCAGGAUUCUGUUUAACUCUACAUAGUCCACAUUGGGGUCCAACAUUGUAACGUCAGUUGAAUAGUAUGCAAUCUGUCGCAUAUCCGACUGCGGUGGGACCACAGUAAGGGCCUAUAUGUAAGAAGUCAGAUGAAUGAAUCAUGUUUUAAAUACUGCUAUACACAGCUGUAACAAUUACUAUAUUCACACAGUUAUUGUUUUGAGAUUCCAAACUUUUAUUGGGGAGCUCCCCUAAAUCCCUUGUUUAGAAAUAUACAGGGUAUUAAUGCUUAUGACAGAGUACCCGUCUGGGUGCGUGCAUUCGCUGCUGAGUGACAGGCAGGAGAUCGAGAGGUUGAAGUUGAUACGCCCCACAGGCGAACAAGAUUUAUUUACAUAUCAACACACUGAACAGCUCGUGUGACACUGCCAGCAAUGGCAGCGCACGGAGCACAUACAACACAGUGUACAAAAAUGUUUUGGUAAGAUCUACAAUAUCUGAACUAAUCUUCUCUGUUAAAUAAUAGACUUUUCUAAAGAGAUUGAUCAUGGUCGAUAAACGGUUAGGGCAUGUAUGUGACAGGAUUACUGUUUUUAAAGUCUAUUGGCUUUAACUUCACGGUCUUAUAAAUAUUGCUUUUGAUUUAUUAUUACGAAAGAUACCUUUGUACCUACAGUAUAGAUGUAUCGUGUUUAGAAGCAGCUUCAGCUACUUGCUCUCUAUACAAUAUAAAUCUGGUUUCAUUUUUUUCAUUCCUUUCAUAGUCAAAUAGCCUAAACCUUAAUUCCCUGUGUGUUGCAUAAAUCCAAGAUUACAAAUAUUAUCGUCUAUAAAUUUAAACAUCUUGAGUUAUUUGAGACUGAAGCAAAAUAAAAUAAAUAGAUGAGCCGCCUUGGGUGAAGGCAGCAGCUAAAUAAAUAUGUCGUCAAGUUACCCAUUACAUGCAACAAAAGUAAUAAUAGGCAACUAAAUUGAGGAAUACUAAGUUACUUAUGAAUAGCUUUAGUAUCAAGCGAUAAUUAAGGAUACGAUUUUGUGACGGAGGUCACGGAAAUCGUGAAUUAACAGAAUCAGAAAAAAGUCAGGAAAUGGAUGUAAAAACAUUUAAUUAGGCACUUCCUUUAUUUCCUUAAAUUCAGUAUGUCAUGCACUGAAAAUACAAAUCUGCGAGUAUCUGUAAAUUGUGUGGUUGUGUAUGCACGCAGCAUUUACGUGUAGCUAUGUAGGUCAGCAAAUUAGAUUUGUAUUUUGUAGCUUAGCGAUCAUGUAAAUGAACACAGUAUGUUACUGUGAACUCGGUUGUGAUCUUUACAUACAUACAUACAGCGCUUUAAUUUUUUUUUUAACAAGUGGGCUUGCAUUUUCAAAAGAUAUUAAUUAAUAAUUACAUUUUAUUUCUUGAAACUUUGACAAUGUAGCGUACCCAAAAAUAAAUACUCCCUUUCUCUAAAACUAAACCUUGCUAAACAAAAUACCGCAAACUGCAGAUAAAACGAGAGGUUUAUCUAGGUUUAUUUGAAAUUUGUUAGUGCACGAGUUGGGGGGACUAACAAAAGUAAAAGACAAAAAUCGUGUGUUUUUUCAGGGAACACAAAGAUGCAGUGUCAAAAAUACAAAGCUGAAAGGACUGUGUUUUAAAAUAAGUAGACAUCCAUUUAGAUGUACUGUAGUUGAUUUUGUUGAUACAGUACUAUAUUAUCAACAGUAGUAUUUUAAUUCAGAACGAUAUGAUUCUGAAAAUAUCACUUGCCAAAAGAGACGACUGUGGACACAUGAACUGUAGUACAGUACAUACUUUUAAAUCAGGUUUGUAUUGUAGCAAUAUGUAAAAUUCUCCAUUAACGGCAAAAUUAAAUCAAAAUGUUACCCAUGGACAGAACUGCUUAAGACGUAAAAGGUAAUGCAAUUUAGAAAAACAUAAAAACACCAGUUUCCAGAAUUAAAACAGAAUCCAGUCAGUCUUCAAAAUUGCAGAAUAUAGUGCUCGAUAAGGCUCUAACUAAUUAAGGAACAUGAUACACACCUAAAAACAAACUUAACACAAAAAAGCAUAAUAAACAGGAAAAUCAGCUUAAAUAAUUUGAUCUAUGUAUAUAUCUUUUUUUUUUUUCUUCCAUUCAGAACGUGCUCGCAAGGUACCGAAUGCUAUUUGCAUGCUGCAUUAAGCACUAUUGGGAUCAUUGAGAGAUAUGCGCGUGCGUCCGUGUGGUUCAUUGCAUUUUUUCCAUGCGAUUACUUGCACUGUUAUUAAUGUAUUUUUAAAAUGUGAACUUUUAAAACAUCAAAACACAUCUCAAAAUAAUGCAACAUUCAGCAUGACACCGUACUUAAUACUUUUAGAUGUGUCGUGCAUUUAUACUCAGAGAAGAUUAAAUUACUUCCGUAUUGGCUAGCCUGCGCAGUGAAGUAUAGAAAUAUUUAGGUUUUGAGGUGGCUGGUGAUGGCAUGGAAUAGUAAAACAAAAUAACAAGACCUUGUUUUUCUCCAUGGAUGUUGUGAAGCAAGGCACCACUAAGUUAAAGUAAGUUAUUGCUUUUCUUAAGUAAAUAUUUGUUAAUGUAUGUUUCAUAUUGCAUUUGUGUUAUUAUAUUUUUCUGUGUUUUGGAAGACUUCAAUAUUAUCUAUCGAAAUAUGUGCACUUAAUUAUUGGAUACUACACAGCAUUUUGUGUUUUGAUAAUUGCAUAGUAAAAAUGUAAAUAACUAUGUUAAAUCUUUCUUGAGGUGUUAUUUUUAUAAGUUUUGAAGUUGAAUAUUUCAGUCCAGGUUUGAUAGCACUUACUGUUUCUAAUUUAAAUCCAGAAUAUAAUUCAAAAUUUAAAAAAAAGUGUUUGAAAUAUUUUUAUUGGGGUUUUUCAUUUUUAAAUGCCAUGUGUUUACAAUUACCAAAAUUAUAGAUUGAACAGCAAAAAUUAGGGCAUUGGCUUGCCAGAACCCUAAGAACCUUUUGAUUUCUAGGGCCAGGGCUGCUACUAUAUGCUACUGUAUUUCCGCUACUAUAAGUUGGCACCUCUGCAACUGGUCUAGGCGGAAGUGUUAUUACAUAGCAUGAUAUGCAACGGCAGUGUUUUGGAUUUCACAAUGGUGGUCGCUAGUGAGCCAAGAAAAUAAAAUGUUUGCUUGCCUUGGGAUGGGAUGAGGACAUUAAAGCAUUUUUGACUAUUUGGUCAGAAUGUUCCAUUCAGGAGCAGUUACUGGGUGCAGUGCGACAUCUUAAUUUAUGAAAAAAUUUCAAAUGCCACAGGCAAUGGGAAUUGAAAGGAUGGCAUUUCAGUGUCGUCACAAAAUAAAAAAGAAAUAAAAUAGCAUACAAAAAAGUGAAGGACGCCAACAACAAAAGCGGCAACAGCAAAAAAACGUUAAUACCUGAGGUAACGGACAACAUACUGGGAUGCUGUCCAGUACACAGCCUCGAAGGUGGUGUUUGUACCAGUCCGGCGGAGGAAGAUACAAGCCCUUGUUCGGAAGAAACACUGAUCAGCAAUGCCCCUCCAAACCACUCCAGUAGAGAAGAAUGUGAAACACAAGGACCUUUUUCCCCAGAAUCUGCAGAAUGACAGAACCAAGAACCAGUGAUUCCAGUGAUGGAUCACCCGGAUCUUGCCCAACCUGCAUGGCUUCCCCAGGACCUGCAGCACGUCCCAGAGCCAGGAAAUAAAAAAAAAAAAAAAAAAAAAAAAAA